rnacentral:rRNA from 1 species
GGUUAAGUGACUAAGCGUACAUGGUGGAUGCCUUGGCAGUCAGAGGCGAUGAAGGACGUACUAACCUGCGAUAAGCCGUGAGCAGUCGGUAAGAGACAUUACGACUCACGGAUUUCCGAAUGGGGAAACCCACUUAGCAUAAGCUAGGUAUCGCUGCGUGAAUACAUAGCGUAGCGAGGCGAACCGGGAGAACUGAAACAUCUAAGUACCCCGAGGAAAAGAAAUCAACCGAGAUUCCCUCAGUAGCGGCGAGCGAACGGGGAUUAGCCCUUAAGCAUCUUGGAAGUUAGUGGAACGGUCCUGGAAAGGCCGGCGAUACAGGGUGAUAGCCCCGUACACGAAAACAACCUUGAUGUGAAAUCGAGUAGGGCGGGACACGUGACAUCCUGUCUGAAUAUGGGGGGACCAUCCUCCAAGGCUAAAUACUCCUGACUGACCGAUAGUGAACCAGUACCGUGAGGGAAAGGCGAAAAGAACCCCUGUGAGGGGAGUGAAAUAGAACCUGAAACCGUGUACGUACAAGCAGUGGGAGCCCUUCGGGGUGACUGCGUACCUUUUGUAUAAUGGGUCAGCGACUUACAUUUUGUAGCGAGGUUAACCGUAUAGGGGAGCCGUAGGGAAACCGAGUCUUAACUGGGCGUCUAGUUGCAAGGUGUAGACCCGAAACCGGGUGAUCUAGCCAUGGGCAGGUUGAAGGUUGAGUAACAUCAACUGGAGGACCGAACCCACUAACGUUGCAAAGUUAGGGGAUGACCUGUGGCUGGGGGUGAAAGGCCAAUCAAACUCGGAGAUAGCUGGUUCUCCCCGAAAGCUAUUUAGGUAGCGCCUCGGACGAAUACUACUGGGGGUAGAGCACUGUUUGGGCUAGGGGGUCAUCCCGACUUACCAACCCCAUGCAAACUCCGAAUACCAGUAAGUAAUAUCCGGGAGACACACGGCGGGUGCUAACGUCCGUCGUGAAGAGGGAAACAACCCAGACCGCCGGCUAAGGUCCCAAAGUUCUGGUUAAGUGGGAAACGAUGUGGGAAGGCUCAGACAGCUAGGAUGUUGGCUUAGAAGCAGCCAUCAUUUAAAGAAAGCGUAAUAGCUCACUAGUCGAGUCGGCCUGCGCGGAAGAUGUAACGGGGCUCAAACCAGGCACCGAAGCCGCGGAUUCACACUAAGUGUGAGUGGUAGGGGAGCGUUCUGUAAGUCUGCGAAGGUGUGUCGAGAGGCAUGCUGGAGAUAUCAGAAGUGCGAAUGCUGACGUAAGUAACGAUAAAGGGGGUGAAAAGCCUCCUCGCCGGAAGACCAAGGGUUCCUGUCCAACGUUAAUCGGGGCAGGGUGAGUCGACCCCUAAGGCGAGGCCGAAAGGCGUAGUCGAUGGGAAGCAGGUUAAUAUUCCUGCACGACUUGUAAUUGCGAUGGGGGGACGGAGAAGGCUAGGUGGGCCAGGCGACGGUUGUCCUGGUGAAAGUGCGUAGGUGGUGUUUCUAGGCAAAUCCGGAGACACAACACUGAGACACGAGACGAACACACUACGGUGUGGAAGCCAUUGAUGCCCUGCUUCCAGGAAAAGCCUCUAAGCUUCAGAUUACAAGUCAUCGUACCCCAAACCGACACAGGUGGUCGGGUAGAGAAUACCAAGGCGCUUGAGAGAACUCGGGUGAAGGAACUAGGCAAAAUAGAACCGUAACUUCGGGAGAAGGUUCGCUCUUGACAGUGAAGUCCCUUGCGGAUGGAGCAGUUGGGAGUCGCAGUGACCAGAUGGCUGGGACUGUUUAUCAAAAACACAGCACUCUGCAAACACGAAAGUGGACGUAUAGGGUGUGACACCUGCCCGGUGCCGGAAGGUUAAUUGAUGGGGUUAGCGCAAGCGAAGCUCUUGAUCGAAGCCCCGGUAAACGGCGGCCGUAACUAUAACGGUCCUAAGGUAGCGAAAUUCCUUGUCGGGUAAGUUCCGACCUGCACGAAUGGUGUAACCAUGGCCAUGCUGUCUCCACCCGAGACUCAGUGAAAUCGAAUUCGCCGUGAAGAUGCGGUGUACCCGCGGCUAGACGGAAAGACCCCGUGAACCUUUACUACAGCUUGGCACUGAACAUUGAACCUACAUGUGUAGGAUAGGUGGGAGGCUUUGAAGGCGUGACGCCAGUUGCGCUGGAGCCGUCCUUGAAAUACCACCCUUGUAUGUUUGAUGUUCUAACGCAGGCCCGUGAAUCCGGGUCGCGGACAGUGCCUGGUGGGUAGUUUGACUGGGGCGGUCUCCUCCCAAAGAGUAACGGAGGAGCACGAAGGUUGGCUAAUCUUGGUCGGACAUCAGGAGGUUAGUGCAAUGGCAUAAGCCAGCUUAACUGCGAGACGGACAGGUCGAGCAGGUACGAAAGUAGGUCAUAGUGAUCCGGUGGUUCUGAAUGGAAGGGCCAUCGCUCAACGGAUAAAAGGUACUCCGGGGAUAACAGGCUGAUACCGCCCAAGAGUUCAUAUCGACGGCGGUGUUUGGCACCUCGAUGUCGGCUCAUCACAUCCUGGGGCUGAAGUCGGUCCCAAGGGUAUGGCUGUUCGCCAUUUAAAGUGGUACGCGAGCUGGGUUCAGAACGUCGUGAGACAGUUCGGUCCCUAUCUGCCGUGGGCGUUGGAUGAUUGAAGGGAGUUGCUCCUAGUACGAGAGGACCGGAGUGAACGAACCUCUGGUGUUCGGGUUGUCACGCCAGUGGCACUGCCCGGUAGCUAAGUUCGGAAUCGAUAACCGCUGAAAGCAUCUAAGCGGGAAGCGAGCCCUGAGAUGAGUCAUCCCUGACCCCUUGAGGGUCCUAAAGGGCCGUUGGAGACCACAACGUUGAUAGGUGGGGUGUGUAAGCGCGGCGACGUGUUGAGCUAACCCAUACUAAUUACCCGUGAGGCUUAACCAU